rnacentral:rRNA from 1 species
UUGGAGGGCAAGUCUGGUGCCAGCAGCCGCGGUAAUUCCAGCUCCAAUAGCGUAUAUUAAAGUUGUUGCAGUUAAAAAGCUCGUAGUUGAAUUUCGGGAUCAAUUUAUUGGUCGUGCCAACGGUACGCACUGGUACAAUUGGUUUCUCCCUUCUGACGAAGCAUGAUGUCAUUAAUUUGAUGUCGUGGGGAAUCAGGACUGUUACUUUGAAAAAAUUAGAGUGUUUAAAGCAGGCUUUGGCUUGAAUACAUUAGCAUGAAAUAAUGAAAUAGGACGUUUGAUCUUAUUUCGUUGGUUUCUAAGAUCGACGUAAUGAUUAAUAGGGAUAGUUGGGGGCAUUAGUAUUCAAUUGUCAGAGGUGAAAUUCUUGGAUUUAUUGAAGACUAACUACUGCGAAAGCAUUUGCCAAGGAUGUUCUCAUUAAUCAAGAACGAAAGUUAGGGGAUCGAAGACGAUCAGAUACCGUCGUAAUCUUAACCAUAAACUAUGCCGACUAGGGAUCGGAUGAUGUUAAUUUUUAAUGACUCAUUCGGCGCCUUACGGGAAAC